GUGGUGUAUGUUUGGAUGGUGGAAAGGGUGGAAGUUAAAACCAUAGGAUUACAGGGGUCGAUUUCAAACCAGUAAAGACACAAAGAUUAAAUAAAAGCAAACCCUCCUAUAUAGAUUAUGCCAUGGACAAAUAAAUAGAAUUUCUUUAUAUAAGAAGGAGUAGAUGAUAUAAGACAGGUAUUAAAUUUUCAUAUCACAAUGAAAACAAAUAGUA
rnacentral:lncRNA from 1 species